rnacentral:lncRNA from 1 species
UCAGUCUGGUUCGAUUGUGCGUUUGACCUCGUUCGCGUGUCUCGCUCACGGCUGACCCAGCUUCUUUGCGCUCAGCUUUUCGAGCUCCUCGCACGGUUUGCACGUCCUGCGCACGUCGAGCUGUGUGUUCCUUGUGUUACUUGUUCGCGAGGUCCUUUUUGGGUGGGGGGGGAAGUUGAUGGAUCACCCCCGGGCCCGGCUUCCAGCUGUGGUGCACCGCAACACCACUGGUCACCACUAGAGGCCGCCACGGGACGAGGGAUUCAGCCCUCCUCCUCUCCCCUCAGCCUCUGCCUGGGAAAGCGACUACCGGGCCGCAGCUCCUCCCAGUGACACGCAGCUGCUGUAUAAGACGCCCACGCGGAUAUCUAGGCCUUCGCUCACAGCGCCUCGCCUGGGGUUCCCUCUGUCGCUCGUCGAGGAAGCACCAGGGAAAAUCCACUCUCGGAGCUCUCUUCUUUGGGAAAAUCAUUCUGUCUUAGAAUAGGAUCACUUUGUCGGCCAUAUACAAUUUCUUGCAUGAGGGAUGUGUCUCUUCGCAGACCCCAGCUUGCUCUCCAGGAGACACACAGACAGGGAGAGAGAAGCUGGGGGUCAGAGCGCAGGUUCAGAGCGCAGGUUCGGCCGUUUAUACGGCACCCCUGGAGCAGCUGGGGUGAAGGGCCUGGCCCCAACGGAGUAGGAUUCCUCUGCCGGCCGCGGGAUUCGAACCGGCAACCUCCACCACACUGCCGGAUGAGCCCACAUCCAUAUUCUGUCUUGCUUCUCACAAGUGUUCCCUCCACCCCAGUAGCUCCUCUGUGUACAGGCUCUAGGGACCUGCUGAUGCAGUUUUCCCCCUUCUCUCCUAGUGAUCCGAGAGGAGGAGAUCGAGUCUCUCGAAGACGGAGUGUUCGAUGUUCACCUAUAGCCAGGGUGACCUUCCUGUGCCCCCAUCAGCACAGACACCCCACGGGAGGCUGGCUGCAGUUCCUGAGCCAAUUCCUCCCACCCCGUGUGCGUCUCCGCAGAGUCGAGAGCAAAAUAACCCCGACGGAACUUGGAACUCUUCUUAAAAACAAAGGCGAACACUGCCCCCCUGUGGCCGCAGGCUGCCACUGCAGGCCCUCACUUCCCCAGCAUUGGCUGUCCACCUGCAGUCCGGCUUUUUAACUGUCCGAAU